rnacentral:sRNA from 1 species
AUGCCAGUGAAGGAGUUGAAGACGUUGCAGUUGAAGGAGGAGGUGCAGCUGCUUCUACUGACUGCUCCUGGACGAUGUGGGAAGACCACAUUGGUGCAAAUGCUUUGUCAGGAUGACCAAAUUAGAGGUACUUCCAUCUCUUUUGUGUGUCAGCGUGUAAUUUUUUACUUUCAAAUUUUUUAGUGUUCUAGGAAAUAUAGUUUGCAUAUUCUUGAAGUUAUUUAUAGUGCUAGUAUGUGGAUCCUUAAUGGUAAAGUAUACCGUUAGGUAGUAGCAAAAACAAAAUACAUUGAACUUCCUUGUUGAAUCCUAAAAUGAAAUAAUGCAGUAAAAGAAACAAGAUGAUUAAAAAAAAAAAAUUAAUAGGCAAUUCUCAAAUUUUCAUAAUUGGUAGUGUUUCUCAUAAUAGGCAAUUGAGAUUGGGUAUUCUGUUCAUAUGGCUUGGCCACUGUGUGUUAAUAUUAUGCGAUAUGAAAUGUGCCUGUGUGGCAGUUUUCUAACUACAUUGUGUUUGGACAGGAAUGUUUGAGGACAAUAUUCUCUUUGUGAACGUUUCAAAAACUCCCAAUGUGAAGGUCAUUGUGCAGAACCUAUUAAAUUACAAGGAUGUGCAGCUUAAUUUUCAAAUUCAAAGUGAUGAAGAUGCAAUCGAAUAGCUGUGACAACUGCUGAAUCAUCUUGGCCCUAAUCCUAUAUUGUUGAUCCUAGAUGAUGUCUGGCUCGGAUCAGAAUCCCUUCCUGAAAAGUUUAAUUUUGAUCUUCCCAAUUACAAGGUUUUGGUUACUUCAAGAACUGCAUUUCCAAGAUUGGAAUUUACAUAUCACUUAAAACCAUUAGAUGAUGUUGAUGCAGUGACUCUUUUCAUCGCUCAGCAAUCAGCAUCCCUACAUGAUGAGAACUCUUACAUUCCAGCAGAAGAAGACGCCAAAAAGGUACUUUGUCAAUCUGUGAGAGAUAUAUAUAGCUUAUCAAUAUAUAUAUAUAUAUAUAUAUACACACACACCUGCUAAAAUUAUGUUUUCACUUUUCAUACAUACGCAUACAUUUAAGCUUUGCUUGGGCCAAAAAUUAGCCCUGUAACCUCCAAACAAUAACUGAGUUUAUUUGUUUCGUUGAAUUGCAGAUAGUAAGAGGCUGUGGGGAAUUUAGCAUGCAUCAUAACUAGAGGUAGUUCUUAUAUCCACAGAUGAUGAUUUUUCCACCGUGCCUUGGCCGUAAGGUGACUGUUGAGGGUGACAGUGGUAGAGAGAAUUUAGCAUGAGGGACGCUAUUUUUUUGAAUGGAGAAUUGGCAAACUCUUUGCAUGCUAAAUGGUUUAUUUCUUGGUUCCAAUGGGGCAUAUGGCUAUGUUCAACUACAACAGUGGCUAGCUAGAUCAGUUCCAUUAAUCCUUUCAUCUUAUUGGGGAUGGAUAGAAUCAGUAAUUAUAUAUUGCAUCAUAUGUAAAGUAGGUUACCUAAAUUACCUUUGUGAAAAAUCAAUUCCUAAUAUUAAAAAAAUGGAUUAUUUUGCUUAAUUUCUCGCUUUUCUCCCAGUGUGUUAUAUCACAAAACAAAGUAUUUUUCAUGUCAAUUUUUCUUCCUCAAAUCUCCGCAAAAUCAAUAUUUCAUAUGUUCAAUUCCACUAUAACAUUUUGCUGAUUUUUUUUUUUCCCAGUAUUUCAUGUUUGACAUGAAAGGUUAUUUCUUGGGAAAUUGUUGCAAGUGGUGUGAGGGAAUUUAUGAUUGGUAAAGCCAUAGUGGACUAUAUGCUAUAGGUAACGAUAAAUAGUGUUAGUAGUGAACCAUGUGAAAAUGAUAUUACUUCAAUCAUAAUUUGACAAUUAUAUUAUACAAAUUACUCAUUUCUUCUAUUGCAUAUGGCAAUUUACUCUUUUGUUGGGUAGUCGAAGAAUGUCGUUGGCAACCAAGAUUUAUUUAAUAACCAAUGAUUUUUGAAUCAAGGGUUUUUUUUUUUUUUUUGAUAAUGGCAAUAGCUUGUGAUAUUUACACUAGUUUUUAUCAAAAACAUGUUUUUAUGUUUGUAUUUUGGUUUUGGGUAAAUUACAAAUUACAUCCCUGAAGUUUGAGAUGACUAAAUUUUACACUUCAAAAUUUCAAAAACUUGAUUUUACACCUUGAAAUUUGGUUCCGUUAACAAUUCACCCUAUGGUCAAUUUCUGCUGUUAAGUGACACAUCAUCAUGCUGGUGUGUUUUAUUUUUGCCAAAUCGGCCUUUAAAACUACGUCAUUUUAGUGAUGACCAAGCAAAGAGCUGGCAUGCAUCAAAACUACAUCGUUUCAAGGCUAAACGUAAAACAAAAACCUCUCCCUAAACGAUAUAGUUUUAGCCAAAAUCCUAAAAUCUAAAAACAAAACCUCACGACAAAAAACUCAAAGUUCCCACAAACUAAAACCUCACGAACCCACACUACAACAAAAUGUAUUUUUAGUGACGAAAAUUAGUGAGGAAAUAUUUUUCGUCACUAAAAAUACAGCUUUAGUGACGAAAUAUGAAUUUCGUCACUAAUAAUGAAAAAAAAUUAUUACAUUUAGCGACGAAAAAUAAAUUUCGUCGCUAUUGUGAUCUGAAAAAUAAGCACCAAGGAGGGAAACUUUGGCGCUAACUUAAUUAAUCUAUAGUGACAAAAUAUUUCGUCGCUAAAAGUUGAAAUUUUUAGUGACGAAAUAUUUCGUCACUGUAGAUAUUACUGUGGAUAGUUUUAGUGACGAAAAUACAUUCGUCACUAUAAGUAAGUAUUAGUGACGAAAAGUAGUCAUCACUAAAAAAAUAAAGGAAUUACACUUAUAUGUUUUUAGCGACGAAAUCACAUUUCGUCACUAAAAACAAUAAUAGAUUUACCGUAUGUGUUUUAGUGACGAAACCAUAUUUCGUCACUAAAACACAUACGGGUAAAGCAUAUGAAUACCACAAAAAAAAAUAUAUAUGAAUAAAGUUUCAGCGACGAACUCGAAUUCGUCACUAAAAGUAUGCUUUAGUGACAAAUCCGAGUUCGUCACUAAAACCUUUAUAGAACUCAGGCGCCAAAGCGAAAAAUUGUUGCGCCAAAAAAUUUAGCUACAGCGACAAAACGGUUCGUCGCUAAAAGUUUAAUUUUUUGCGACGAAAAGUUUCGUCGCUAAAGGCACCUAAUAGUGACGAAUCAGAGUUCGUCACUAAAGGGUUUGUACUUAUAUGAGCUUCAGCCUAUUUUUUUUUUUUUUUUUUUCACUAUCUUCUUUCUGCGUUCUCUCCCUUUCCCAAACUCACAUAACCCACAAACUCACACACCCAAACUCAUACCCACAAAACUCACAUACCCAAACUCAUACCCACAAAACUCAAAGUCAGACCUCAAUAACGACGAAUCAGAGCCGUCGUCGUCAUUGCUAAGGCGUUGAUCCCGGCGACGAUCCUAGCGUUGCUAAGGCGACGCUUCGGCUUCACACCGGCGAGCACAGCGACGCUUCGGCUUCGCCGUCGCGAGCACAGCGACGCUUCGGCGCGAGCACAACGAUGCUUCGCCGUCGCGAGCACAGCGACGCUUCGGUGCGAGCACAGCGAUGCUUCGGCCAAGUACAGCGACGCUCCGGCGACGUUUCAGCGACGCACCCAGCGUCGCUUCGGCUUCCCUUCACCACGUCGCUUCAGCUUCCCUUCACCGAUUUAG